rnacentral:snRNA from 1 species
GUGCUUGCCUCAGCAGCACAUAUACUAAAAUCAGAAUGAUACAAAGAUUAGCAUGACCCCUGUGCAAGGAUGACAUGCAAAUUCAUGAAGUGUUCCAUAUUUUA